UGCAUUCACUACUGUAAGUCGCUCUGGAUAAGAGCGUCUGCUAAAUGGCUAAAU
rfam:Salmo salar isolate Sally breed double haploid chromosome ssa01, whole genome shotgun sequence.